AGCAGCCGCGGUAAUUCCAGCUCCAAUAGCGUAUAUUAAAGUUGUUGCAGUUAAAAAGCCCGUAGUUGAAUUUCGAGAUCAAUUUGUCGGUCGUGCCUCGGUACGUACUGGCAUUAUUGAUUUCUCCCUUCUGAAGAACCGCGAUGUCAUUAAUUUGGUGUCGUGGGGAAUCAGGACUGUUACUUUGAAAAAAUUAGAGUGUUUAAAGCAGGCGCACGCUUGAAUACAUUAGCAUGGAAUAAUGAAAUAGGACGUUUGAUUCUAUUUUGUUGGUUUCUAGGAUCGACGUAAUGAUUAAUAGGGAUAGUUGGGGGCAUUAGUAUUCAAUUGUCAGAGGUGAAAUUCUUGGAUUUAUUGAAGACUAACUACUGCGAAAGCAUUUGCCAAGGAUGUUUUCAUUAAUCAAGAACGAAAGUUAGGGGAUCGAAGACGAUCAGAUACCGUCGUAGUCUUAACCAUAAACUAUGCCGACUAGGGAUCGGAUGAUGUUAAUUUUUAAUGACUCAUUCGGCGCCUUAAC
rnacentral:rRNA from 1 species